AGAGUUUGAUCCUGGCUCAGGACGAACGCUGGCGGCGUGCUUAACACAUGCAAGUCGAGGGCGUGGGGUAACCCACGACCGGCGAACGGGUGCGUAACACGUGAGCGACCUGCCCAUCUCGUGGGGGAUAGCCGGCCCAACGGCCGGGUAAUACCGCAUACGCUUGGCCUGGGGCAUUCCGGGCCAAGGAAACUUCCGGGGCGGAUGGAGGGGCUCGCGGCCUAUCAGCUAGUUGGCGGGGUAACGGCCCACCAAGGCGACGACGGGUAGCUGGUCUGAGAGGAUGGCCAGCCACAUUGGGACUGAGAGACGGCCCAGACUCCUACGGGAGGCAGCAGUGGGGAAUAUUGCGCAAUGGCCGCAAGGCUGACGCAGCGACGCCGCGUGGGGGAGGAAGGUCUUCGGAUUGUAAACCCCUGUUGCCCGGGACGAACGAACGGUUUCGACCGUUGUGACGGUACCGGGUGAGGAAGCACCGGCUAACUCCGUGCCAGCAGCCGCGGUAAUACGGAGGGUGCGAGCGUUGUCCGGAAUCACUGGGCGUAAAGGGCGCGUAGGCGGUCUGCUAAGCGUGCGGUGAAAGCUCGGGGCUUAACUCCGAGUCGGCCGUGCGAACUGGCGGACUGGAGCACUGUAGAGGCGGGUGGAAUUCCGGGUGUAGCGGUGGAAUGCGUAGAGAUCCGGAAGAACACCGGUGGCGAAGGCGGCCCGCUGGGCAGUGGCUGACGCUGAGGCGCGACAGCGUGGGGAGCAAACAGGAUUAGAUACCC
rnacentral:rRNA from 1 species